rnacentral:lncRNA from 1 species
AUUCUGCGUGGUUUUUUGCGCAAAAUGGAUUCAACCUUGAACGAUAAAAAACAUAUUUUUGCAGCAAGACUGGAGUGAAAAAUGGCCAUCAAUUUCAAGAACGGCAUAGUCUCUGUGUCGUGAUGUUCGUGCAAAAGCAAUUCAACGUUUGCCUGGUGGCAGCACUCGCGCUGCAGGUGUUCUUGGCCUCAGCGUCACCGGUGCACCCACCGAGCGCAGAAGAUGCGGAAGAGCAAGAGGAUGUGGAUGCACAACUGAAGACCCGUGGUAUUUGGGAUUCCUUCUCGGCACCUUCACCGUCGGCGGCCCUCAAUGCCGUUGACUCCGGUCUCCGAUCGGUCCGCGACCAGGGCACCCGCGCGGUCCGCACCGCAGCCGGCGCCGGAACUGAGCUCGCCACCGGUAUCAACCCCAACACCGUCUACGAGAUGGGUCAAGAAGCCAUGAAGAAGGCCAUCCGCGGCGCCCGCUACGGAACCGAGGUAGUUUACGAUGCAGCGGACAAGACCCUGGACACCGUCCAAUCCCUCCACGACAAGAAGAAGGACCUCGUUGAAAGCUACGUGAAACCCGUGGCCCCCGACAUGGUGAACAACGUCAUCGACCGCGUCAACACCGGCUUCGACUCGACAUUGGCCUCGAUCAAGGACCGCGUCCACCAAGGCCGCUCCGUCGCCCAGAGCACCCUGGACAAGCUCGAAGAGAAACUCGAGAACGGUGAGUCUAUCAUGCCCAGCGCCGUCCAGAACGGAGUGCAACGCGUCGGGAAGAUGCUCGCCCCGAUGGCCGACUCAGUCCAGGGCUGGAUGAACGGCUGGAUGCAACCCACCGCCGGCGCAGCAGCCCCAGCGAAACCCAUGACCGAUGAAGAGAUCCAAGUCGAAGACGAGAACAUGUUCGCCGAUUACGCCAAACCCACCCGCACCGACAGAGUCGAGGAGGCCAUGAGGGCGGCCAAGGCAGCUGAAGAGGCCAGGAUCAAGGCAGCCGAAGAGGCCAAGGCAGCCGCGGAGGCCAAGGCAGCUCAAGAGGCCAAGGCAGCCCAGGAAGCUAUCCCGACUAACCCCAUGCCACUCCGCAGGAUGAGAUCCCAGGCAGGAAUCAGAGCAGGAGCUCCUGGAAUCCGUUCUCGUUCUUUCAGAGGCUCCCGCCUGGGUAUGGGCGGUCGUUAAGUUUUGAGCGAGUUUAGUUCAAGCGUUUUCCAGAAAUAUACAACUAGUAGAUCGAGUAGGGCCUCAAAGAAAAUUAUAUUUUCUGUUUGUUCCACCACUUGAUGGCUGUAGAUUUGGAGCCAAUAAAAAUUUAAAGUUUCGAGCAUGCAACGAAGAUUAUACUUACCAAGAUUGCUAAAGGAGUACAAAUUAGUCUCAAAACGUAAUCUGACACUGAUCAAUAACGCCGAACAAGAAAUUAAAAUCUUAAAUAAAAAUGGCAAAUUCACAACCUGCAUUCCACAAAUAACGCCGCAAUUAGAGGGUAAAAUGCGUGAUCCGACAAGACUGACUCCUUUCAAGAUCAAAUUACAUAAAUAAAUGAAUAUAGGAACAUUCGAAUAUUUACUAAUCCGCGUUUGCCUCAGAUGAUGUGUUGGUAACAUAAAAUAAUGUGGGGUUUCCAAUUAAACACCCGCACAGAGACGGCUUCCGCUUUGUUCUCUUUCGGCUGCAAUGUGGAAUAGAGUUUUAUGUGGCGUACUCCGUAUACUGGUUGAAUAUUUGUGGUCGUUUCUGAAGAGAAAGUUCCUACAGUAUUAGAUCGUUUUUUCUUUCUUCUUUUAAAAACAUUUCGCAGUAUUUCCAGUUUUCCGUUUUUCCUCGCUUUCUUUGAGUGGUUCAUGACUUCAGUCCGUUUCCUUGGCUGAUUUGUGAUCAUGGCCUUGUGUGCAAUUUUUUUUUGAUGCGUGAAUUUUUCUACUAAUAAAGAUUCUGAUCCCCUUUGGGUGAUACCAAAUAUUUUGCCUUUCAUUUUCUACAACUCUCUAAUAUCCGAAAACCGCUCAAACUCAAAAUUGUUCAAAUUAAAAAUAGUACACUCUUGUACUGAAUAGUGCAGCCAAGACUACUUUUCCUCGAUGAAAAAUAGCCUCAUUCAAAGAAGUAUAUUUGUCUUUGAAGCAGCCAUAUAUUACCUCUAAAAAAAUAAAAUAGAUAUCAUCGUUGACAGCCUGAGUUCUGUUUACGGAAACCAAAAUUAUUUAGGGAAAAGCAAAAUCUCAGGUGUCCUGA